CUUUUCACAUGACCCCUUACAUGUGUGAACACUUUAUUUUGUCAAAGGAAACCUUAGGUUAAUUGAAUGAAUGGCUUUUUUCUAUGUGUUAUCCUCUUUUUCCUCUCACAUAGUAACCUCUUGCUCAAUCAUAAUAACACCAUAGUCUAUUCUCCACCCUUUCACAUAGUAACCUCUUGCUCAAUCAUAAUAACAUCAUAAUUUGUUCUUUGCCCUUUUCCUCUAAGCUCACACUCCAAUGUAGGUGAUGGAUCAACAUCAGUUGUCACAUAUUAGCUCUUCAAAUAUAGCUCAUCUCACCAACAAGUGAUAGUAGUGGCAUUGGAAGC
rnacentral:lncRNA from 1 species